rnacentral:lncRNA from 1 species
CCACUGGACUAGCACUCAUAGCCUUUAAUUGUAGUGCUUUACAAAUCUUUGUUGGCGACAUUGAUGGACAUACACCUACACAGAUCUUUACUAUUAUAUAUUGAAGCUUAAGAUCAUCUUGUGGCAAUGGAGAGAAAUAAAAAUAUUAUCAUCGUGCAACAUAGCUUGUUGCCGUUAAAAGGGUUGGAGGACAACUAUAUCAACUGAAGCCACGACAUAUUCCUUGGAUGGUAUACAUAUCAGACUCCUUAUGCUCGAGAAAAAUAUGACUACAUAAGGACAAAUUCAGUCUGAUACUUGACGAUAUGUGUAUUUGGAGAUCCUUACAUAGACCAUAGAUAGUAUGGAUUUCUGAGUUAAAUAGUAAUCUACAGGA